rnacentral:lncRNA from 1 species
UUUGCUGUAAAUAUUUUUAAGAAAAGCAAAACUUGAUUGGUUAAUAUACAUGAUUUUUGAUUAAAUUUUGGAUGUCUAAAAUAUCUACAUCCACCACCAGUCACUUCCUUUUUUCCCAAAAAAACCAUAAUUGAUUGAUGAUGGAUUACAUAAUUUCCUAUUGUUUCGGUGUUCGUUUUCUAAACUAGUGACCAAAAUUCCAUCUUUGUAACUGCAUCUCUAUAAAUAAUAAAGGUAUUAUCUUAAUUGCCAAUAUAAUUGGUUAAUUUUUUUUUUUUAAACGUCUGAACUUAAUAAAAUGAAAAAGAGUUCGCCCUAGCUGGUUCUCUCUCAGGCACGGAGUCCAAGGCAGCCGCACAGCUUGCAUCUCCGCCAGAAUGAAGGUCUCUUUCCGGUGCAGCUCCUCCUGUCCUAAUCACGAGCCUCUCUUCCGCUGCUGAUGACGUUUCGCUCACCAUCCCGAAGCUC